rnacentral:rRNA from 1 species
GACGAACGCUGGCGGCGUGCUUAACACAUGCAAGUCGAACGGAAAGGCCCUGCUUUUUUGGGGUGCUCGAGUGGCGAAAGGGUGAGUAACACGUGAGUAACCUGCCCUUGACUUUGGGAUAACUUCAGGAAACUGGGGCUAAUACCGGAUAGUGGCUCCUGCUGCAUGGUGGGGGGUGGAAGGUUUCGGCGGUUGGGGAUGGACUCGCGGCGUAUCAGCUUGUUGGUGGGGUAGUGGCUUACCAAGGCUUUGACGGGGAGCCGGCCUGAGGGGGUGUCCGGCCACAUUGGGACUGAGAGCCGGCGCAGACUCCUACGGGAGGCAGAAGUGGGGAAUAUUGCACAAUGGGCGGAAGCCUGAUGCAGCAACGCCGCGUGCGGGAUGACGGCCUUCGGGUUGUAAACCGCUUUCGCCUGUGACGAAGCGUGAGUGACGGUAAUGGGUAAAGAAGCACCGGCUAACUACGUG